UCGCUCAUGCGUAUGGCUUUCCUGAGACUUCUGGUCCCGGGUUGCUGUGGAGUCGGUGCUGCUGCACGCCAGUACCGCAACAGCGAAUCCCCGAGCUGCUCACGUUCCGCUGUCGCUGCCAGGGCUUUUACGCAGCUGGGGGACGGUGCGGGGCUGGGGCUGGAAGGGCCGUUCGCUAAUUCACCGGGGUGGCGAGCAAAUUGCGUGGCACGAGGCGCUGUGGAGCAGCUGUGAGCCCAACCGCUCCGUUCCUUGGUCUGCAGCGACUGCACCAGUUGCUCGAGCUCUUCCCACUGCAGGAGCUCAGAACUGACAAGAACCCUGACCCAAGCAGUGACUUCAGCAAUCCCGCGUUGAGCCGCAGCAGCAAUGGGGCACUGCAGCACGUCAGCGAUCUCUGGCUUGAGGAGCGCAGGGCUGCACGAAGGAUGCACUGCAGCCUCCCUGUUUCUGUGGGGUUUGCACUGCUGUUGGAGCCCAAAGGCCACACGCUGCCAUACAGGCAGGUGCCAGGUUCACCCACUGAGGACACCAAACCCUCCAAUAACAUCACAGUGGCCUUUAAUUGCUGUGUGAGGAGAUGACGCGCAUUUCUCCCUGGGGAGCCGUAAGCUGAGCCCGGCAGCUGGGCAGCCAGCACUCGCUCCAUUGACGCCGCUCAUCUCAGCCCUUGUGCUGCAUGUGCAGCUUCUCAGCACCUCGCUGUAUCAGUAUUGAAGCCUGUGCUCCCCUAUCUAUUAGAAAUGUCACCAAUGGCCAUUGAGGA